UACAGAGGUGGCUAGCGUUGUUCGGAUUUAUUGGGCGUAAAGGGUCUGGAGGCGGUUCGGAAAGUCGGAUGUGAAAUCCCACAGCUCAACUGUGGAACUGCAUUCGAAACUUCCGGACUGGAGUGUGAGAGGGGUGAAGGGAAUUCCCGGUGUAAGGGUGAAAUCUGCAGAGAUCGGGAGGAACACCAGUCGCGAAGGCGCUUCACUGGCUCACUACUGACGCUGAGGGACGAAAGCUAGGGUAGCAAACGGG
rnacentral:rRNA from 1 species